rnacentral:rRNA from 5 species
GGUUAAGCGACUAAGCGUACACGGUGGAUGCCCUGGCAGUCAGAGGCGAUGAAGGGCGUGCUAAUCUGCGAUAAGCGCCGGUAAGGUGAUAUGAACCGUUAUAACCGGCGAUACCCGAAUGGGGAAACCCAGUGUGACUCGUCACACUAUCAUUAACUGAAUCCAUAGGUUAAUGAGGCGAACCGGGGGAACUGAAACAUCUAAGUACCCCGAGGAAAAGAAAUCAACCGAGAUUCCCCCAGUAGCGGCGAGCGAACGGGGAGGAGCCCAGAGCCUGAAUCAGCAUGUGUGUUAGUGGAAGCGUCUGGAAAGGCGCGCGAUACAGGGUGACAGCCCCGUACACAAAAGCGCAUGUGCUGUGAGCUCGAUGAGUAGGGCGGGACACGUGGUAUCCUGUCUGAAUAUGGGGGGACCAUCCUCCAAGGCUAAAUACUCCUGACUGACCGAUAGUGAACCAGUACCGUGAGGGAAAGGCGAAAAGAACCCCGGCGAGGGGAGUGAAAAAGAACCUGAAACCGUGUACGUACAAGCAGUGGGAGCACAGGUUUACCUGUGUGACUGCGUACCUUUUGUAUAAUGGGUCAGCGACUUAUAUUCUGUAGCAAGGUUAACCGUAUAGGGGAGCCGUAGGGAAACCGAGUCUUAACCGGGCGUUAAGUUGCAGGGUAUAGACCCGAAACCCGGUGAUCUAGCCAUGGGCAGGUUGAAGGUUGGGUAACACUAACUGGAGGACCGAACCGACUAAUGUUGAAAAAUUAGCGGAUGACCUGUGGCUGGGGGUGAAAGGCCAAUCAAACCGGGAGAUAGCUGGUUCUCCCCGAAAGCUAUUUAGGUAGCGCCUCGUGAAUUCAUCUCCGGGGGUAGAGCACUGUUUCGGCUAGGGGGCCAUCCCGGCUUACCAACCCGAUGCAAACUGCGAAUACCGGAGAAUGUUAUCACGGGAGACACACGGCGGGUGCUAACGUCCGUCGUGAAGAGGGAAACAACCCAGACCGCCAGCUAAGGUCCCAAAGUCAUGGUUAAGUGGGAAACGAUGUGGGAAGGCCCAGACAGCCAGGAUGUUGGCUUAGAAGCAGCCAUCAUUUAAAGAAAGCGUAAUAGCUCACUGGUCGAGUCGGCCUGCGCGGAAGAUGUAACGGGGCUAAACCAUGCACCGAAGCUGCGGCAGCGACGCUGAUGCGUUGUUGGGUAGGGGAGCGUUCUGUAAGCCUGUGAAGGUGGCCUGUGAGGGUUGCUGGAGGUAUCAGAAGUGCGAAUGCUGACAUAAGUAACGAUAAAGCGGGUGAAAAGCCCGCUCGCCGGAAGACCAAGGGUUCCUGUCCAACGUUAAUCGGGGCAGGGUGAGUCGACCCCUAAGGCGAGGCCGAAAGGCGUAGUCGAUGGGAAACGGGUUAAUAUUCCCGUACUUGGUGUUACUGCGAAGGGGGGACGGAGAAGGCUAUGUUGGCCGGGCGACGGUUGUCCCGGUUUAAGCGUGUAGGUGUGUGUUCCAGGUAAAUCCGGUUCACUUUAACACUGAGGCGUGAUGACGAGGCACUACGGUGCUGAAGCAACAAAUGCCCUGCUUCCAGGAAAAGCCUCUAAGCAUCAGGUAACAUCAAAUCGUACCCCAAACCGACACAGGUGGUCAGGUAGAGAAUACCAAGGCGCUUGAGAGAACUCGGGUGAAGGAACUAGGCAAAAUGGUGCCGUAACUUCGGGAGAAGGCACGCUGACACGUAGGUGAAGUGAUUUACUCAUGGAGCUGAAGUCAGUCGAAGAUACCAGCUGGCUGCAACUGUUUAUUAAAAACACAGCACUGUGCAAACACGAAAGUGGACGUAUACGGUGUGACGCCUGCCCGGUGCCGGAAGGUUAAUUGAUGGGGUCAGCGCAAGCGAAGCUCCUGAUCGAAGCCCCGGUAAACGGCGGCCGUAACUAUAACGGUCCUAAGGUAGCGAAAUUCCUUGUCGGGUAAGUUCCGACCUGCACGAAUGGCGUAAUGAUGGCCAGGCUGUCUCCACCCGAGACUCAGUGAAAUUGAACUCGCUGUGAAGAUGCAGUGUACCCGCGGCAAGACGGAAAGACCCCGUGAACCUUUACUAUAGCUUGACACUGAACAUUGAGCCUUGAUGUGUAGGAUAGGUGGGAGGCUUUGAAGCGUGGACGCCAGUCUGCAUGGAGCCGGCCUUGAAAUACCACCCUUUAAUGUUUGAUGUUCUAACGUGGACCCGUGAUCCGGGUUGCGGACAGUGUCUGGUGGGUAGUUUGACUGGGGCGGUCUCCUCCUAAAGAGUAACGGAGGAGCACGAAGGUUGGCUAAUCCUGGUCGGACAUCAGGAGGUUAGUGCAAUGGCAUAAGCCAGCUUGACUGCGAGCGUGACGGCGCGAGCAGGUGCGAAAGCAGGUCAUAGUGAUCCGGUGGUUCUGAAUGGAAGGGCCAUCGCUCAACGGAUAAAAGGUACUCCGGGGAUAACAGGCUGAUACCGCCCAAGAGUUCAUAUCGACGGCGGUGUUUGGCACCUCGAUGUCGGCUCAUCACAUCCUGGGGCUGAAGUAGGUCCCAAGGGUAUGGCUGUUCGCCAUUUAAAGUGGUACGCGAGCUGGGUUUAGAACGUCGUGAGACAGUUCGGUCCCUAUCUGCCGUGGGCGCUGGAGAACUGAGGGGGGCUGCUCCUAGUACGAGAGGACCGGAGUGGACGCAUCACUGGUGUUCGGGUUGUCAUGCCAAUGGCACUGCCCGGUAGCUAAAUGCGGAAGAGAUAAGUGCUGAAAGCAUCUAAGCACGAAACUUGCCCCGAGAUGAGUUCUCCCUGAGACUUAGAGUCUCCUGAAGGAACGUUGAAGACGACGACGUUGAUAGGCCGGGUGUGUAAGCGCAGCGAUGCGUUGAGCUAACCGGUACUAAUGAACCGUGAGGCUUAACCUU